GAGACAGGCUGCCCCUUGCACUAUUUGUGGCCAGUGUUAGCUCUUCCCACAUCAAGCCAGCUCUGCAGAAGCAGAGUGGAUGCAGCCUGGCAUAGUUCUUACGUUCCUCAGCUUUACUGAUCUCUAGCUGUAGUGCGAUUCUGGGCAGCCAGAGGUGGAGGAUCGCACUGAUUAGUGCACUUCACAGGAGGAAAAGGCAGGAGAAAGGAAGCGGUAUUUCCAGAGUUUCUGUUACACAUGAUCAACUGCAGUCUAAAAGUAUGAGUACAAAACAAGAUAUUUUGAAGGAGGAACUGCAUCGUAAUUCUUCUAUUAUACUAUGCUGUGUCCACAUUUACAGGAGAAGUGAAUACACAGAGUCUGAUCCCACACCGCGCCCUGCUCCUCCUGCUGACAGCUGCUGGCCCGGAACUGGCCAGCACUGAGAACAUGUGUGUCUUUGGGCGUGGAGUCUUCUGUCUUAAAUACACGCGAUGAAAGGCCAUAACUAUAUAGCUUUAAAAUAAUCAUUCCAUAACACUGCGCUGUAGUCAAAGACUAGAAAUCUCCAACAGGGGUAUAGACUUUUGUUUCCUGCUGGACUGGAAUGACUGUGGUUGUGAAGCACUGAAGUCCCUACGUAUCCAAAGACAAUACUUCAAUAGGCCUUCUUUAGGUACAGUCUUUUGGCUUAGCUGGCUAAUGUGAUAUGAGUGGAUAUGAUGCCUGCCACUUACAGGAAGAAAUGUAAAGACCAAGUGCCAGUGAGAAGCUGUCCGCAUGUCCUCCUUUCUGCUAUAAUUGUGGAAGUGCCUGCCAAGAUGAAGCCCUGUCAGUUUCAUCCCCAAGUGACAAUAAUGCAAGUGUUUUCCUGCCAACCUGCCCUGGACAUGUCCUGUGAGCCAGGAAAUUAGUUUCUGAUACACCUGUGUCAGAAUGUCCCCAAAUGUUGGCAAAUAAUGCAGCGAUGUUCAGAUGGAUUUUUUGAAGCUCCUUGACAUAAAAAAACUGACGAUGGGAGAGGAAGAAAUCAUAUCCUUUUGUGUUUCCUGGAUGAGCAUCACACUUCUGUUGGCAAAAGAACACUGGAGAAAAAAAUAUAGCAAGUCACUGAAGCAUAACAGCAGCAGUGCCAUGGACAUUUAUGAAGAGAUGAUGGCAUGUCAACCUACUGGUGGUGUAGCAAAACAAUUAGUAAGUCUUCUUUUUAUUGAGUGCAUGCUACUUCCAUGACAUCAUACAAUGCUUCUUACCCUCAAGGAGAAUAUAUCAAGAGUGAUUUAAUCUGAUUAAAGAUACUGCUCUGUGAAGCAGAUGAACUGAAGUGGAAAUCACAACAGAGCCCGUGAGCAUCUGUCAUAUAACCAAGCAAGAGGAGAGGGCUUCAUGCACGAAGCUUAGAAAAGGUUUGGGUCAUGAGGAUCUAAGUAUAGGAACAUGACUCACAGCUGGAUUUUAAAGGCAAUUACACAACUAUGACAAUACUAAGCCAGAUCUGAUUUCCCCUUAGAAUUGAGACCUGCAAAAUAGGACAUGUUAUCUAUCUCCUUUCACAGCAAUAUUUAAUUAUAUGUCUGUGCAACAACAGAACAAUCCUUUAAGCAAGACAGUGAGUGACAGCUAUUGAAAAAGUUUGCUGAGAAUUAAUUUUCUUUAGUUCCCCAGUGAACACAUGCAUUUUAUACUUCAGGAUUAUGGUUGCAGACAAAAGCAGUAUAGAAUAAAAUGGGGCCAUAUUCGAUACAUGUUAAACAUAAUGCUUGAGACUUCCAGGGGAAAAUGUUCAUAUUUCUUCCAAAGAAGGUUAUAGAGAGGCUAAAUUCACUGCAAUGAAACAUUAAAUGUUUGAGGAGUGCCCUACCUUGAGAUUGUUUAAUAAUGUUAUAUUCUGAGGCUACGGCUUCAGGUGUCUGAUGUGUGGUUAUUUUCACUGUUCUUCUUCUGGAAAAUGGUGCUCUUGGGAAGCAUAAACAGGACUAGGAAAUAAGAUUUUUUUAAAAAGCAGUUCUUUUCAAGGUACAGUUUAUCCCUCUGUAAAGACUGGUUUAGAGAAAUCAGCAGGAUAGUAUACUCCAAAUUAGAUCUAGGGUGUGAGGGCAGGCACGGAGCGGCCACCCUCCGAAGUGGAGGUCUGGGGUCUGUACUACCAAGUUUCUCUAAGUACAUCAAACAGAAUGGUUUGUACAUCAUUGUUUGAUUGUCCACAUUUAUGCUUUGAUUUGGUAACUUGAACAACUACUUCUAAGAUGACAAAACGUAAUUUUUCAACUGGUGAUUUCUUGCUUUUUUUUUUUUUUUUGAAAUUCUGUAUUAUUUCUAUUUUGCUUUUUUUCUUUGUAAAAAAUGUCCAAAUUAGAUCUAAAUGCAAAGUUUGCCAUUAAACACAAUGCCGACAUUGCAUAGUAUAAAUAAACACAUGCAUCUGGAGUCGGACUGUCAGGCUGGUUUUAAAUCCUGGCUCUGAUGUGAACUAUGAGAGCUUGGUCAAGCUACUUAGCAUCUCUGUGAAUUAAAGUCAUCCUUAUAGUCAUCUCCGUCCUCAUGAAGUUGUGAUGAGGAUUCAAGAAAUCACUAAUAAGUUAUUUUAUCCAGCACAUGUCCAGAAUGUAUUUAGUAUGUGUUGAACAGUACUGAGCUUUGCUAACUUAGAGCAUUUGCUUAUAAAUGCGUGUGGUGGUGACUGGCAUUAUUUCAAACUCCAGCCAUUUGCUAUUGUUUCACAUUGAGGGCCACCAAGCUUCAUGGCUUGUUAGUGACCGCUGACUUUCUAACCCUAGAAACAUCUUUAGUGAUUGUGGACUCGUGACUCCUUUUGUAAAGGCUGAGGUUAAUGGUCAAGGCUUACUUUUCCUCAAAGGCUACACGUUGAUAAAUUUCCCUCUACUUGAUUUGUAUAGAAUUUAUUCUCUACUUCCAAAAAAGAUUCCAAGUGUCGACCUGCGGUUUGAGUCCUCCAGCUGCACUGGUAUUUCCUGGGGGGUUGAUUCUGAAUUGUACACAGAGACCUCAUUGUGUUCUGCUACCAUGGGGCUGAACAAAUGUGACAUAAUCACUUUCUUGUUGAAAGCAAAUGUGUGGUGAGCUUACUGAGUGUGGAAUUUCUGUUGGGAAAGCAGACACGGGGUCUCAGGCUCCUCCACAUCUCCAUGUAGACCAGAAUGACACUGAGGCACUGCUGUGAUGGGCGCGGUCCCUCUCCUCUCACGGGGGCUAUGAAUGUCUCCACAGCGCCUCCUCCUGCAUGCCAGGCAGGGAUGUUAGAUUACUGCCAAAGUUUAUGUUCAGCAAAUCUGUUUCCAAAUCGAAGAUCACAGCAUGCCACAGUUUCCUAGAGUCAGGCAUCAAAAUAGAUCCAGUGGGCACUUUUUGAGUACUGUGUUGAAAAACAAAAACAAAAUUAAAAUUUAAGGUGAUGGAUUCUUCUUAGUCUUUCUUAGAGGGCUGGAGAUGCAGCUCAGUGGAAGAAUGCUUACCUGGGAUGCUCCAAGGCUAGGUCAGUUCCCAGCACUUAAAAACAGAAAAGUAUUUCAGAAUGCCAAAAUAGAGCUUCACGACUAUCCUCCCCUUUUCUCUCUGGCUCUGAGGUUUCUUUUAGCUCCAUUUCUCCCAAAGGAGACUGAGCUCAGCUCCUGCCUUCCAUUCUGACCUGUCUCACCCUGAUUCUUGAGAUUCUUGUUUUCAGACUUGUUCUUCUCCAGUCAAUAUGAGCUGCAUUGGUCUCUGCCCCUCUGCUCUCUUCAGUCUCCAACAGUCAUGAGCAAAAUGAUCAGGUUUCUCAUGCUACCUAACUCGGGGUCACUUUAAUUCCAGGGCGGACAUGUGUCCAUGCAUUUGUAUGAGCUGGCAGAUGUAAGGAUCAAUAUAUAUUUAGCCGAGAAUGCAACUCUUAUGCUGCUUCCAAUAAAUCUAGGCAGCUUUGCUGUUAGAGUUUGUUAUUGUUGCUCCUCUGAGUAAGUCAGGGCAUUAAAUGUUGACUGGAUUCUGAAAAUGUAUUUAUUUGUUUAUAUAGUUAUUAUUUGUAUGAUAAAAUCAAUACACAAUUUUGUCACAUUACUUAUUAAUAUACUUAAAAUACAGGAAUGAGACAGUGUUACCAUUUAUCCUUUCUCUGCCUACCUAUCAGUAGAUACAUGAUAAAACAUAGUUUUAUGCAUUAUUCUGCCAACCCACCAGUUUGCUGAUGGAUUAGUUUGUUUGUCUUCAGUAAGAAAUAUUUAAUGAAUGUACAGAGGAAGAAAAGUACAUACGCAUUCAGGGGUGAGGCACAUUACCAUCAGGGUAUGGAAAGAGCAAACUGUAUUUUUAUUUCCUGAAAAAUUGUGUGAAUUAUGAUGUUGUGUGUUACUUAUUUUGAGAAAAAUAUGGAACUAACUUUCCCACAGUAUGCGGGGACUUGAAAGCAUGUGGAAGACGCAUGUGCCCUGGUGGGUGCCAUGGUGUUUCCUGUGGUUUUAUUCUCUUUAGCAGCCUGGAAGCCCAGCUCUAGGUCUUGGUCUGCACCAUCUUUCCUCCUCCUGGUUGAAAUGAGACUUUCUCAUAUUCAGAUACUGGCAGGAGCAGGCAGCCACAAUGUUAGGGAUCUUCUAGCUUCUACUGCUUUGGCAAGAAAUUCAGAGGGGCUGCAACACUAUGCAAUAUAAGAUCAGGUCUUUUCUGAGGAAUUUAAGGCACAAAGAGCAGAACAUGGUGGAGGUCCUGGACUAGGUUACUGGCAGGGACCCAGGUCAGGGUGGGGAGGGAGGAUGAUUGCUUUUCCCGUGUCUUUUCAGCCGAGUCUUCGGAUACUGCUGGAAUCAUUGGAUUGUCAAUUCCAUGUGACAUUCGUCCAGGCCCUGGGAGCCUCUUUCAUUUCGCGGUGACAGUUGGCUUGUGAUAGUGGGUAAUAUCUUAUACAGAUGCAUUAUCUCUUGCUUUGUUACUGUUACUUGAUGUGCUUAUUUAAUUGCAAAUUACGCUUAGCUUUACAGUCAAAUGGAGGCCUACCAAAUUCAAACAUGGACAGACAGAGGAACACAGGCAGGGUUUAGUGAAGAAUAAUGGCACUAGAGCAGGAGUGAGAUCCCAAGGUUUGGGUGCAGCCCUGCAGCACGGCUCGCAUCUGCAGGGAUGGACUGAGACAUCUGAGGCCCUUUCCUCUGCUGGAUUCUUUCUGUGUUCUGUUCUUCACGUUCUUGCUAGUCUCCAUGUAGACUUUCUUUAUGCUUUUUCCAGGACAGGCAAGGUCAAUGAUUCCUAUUGUGAUCACUGUUCUUUUUUUUUAAUUUUUAUUUUAAAAAAAGAUUAAGAUAAAAGAAGACAUAACAACACAGGUCAGAACAGAGCAAUUUAAUCAAUUUAAUCUUCUGGGAAUUAUGACUAUUUACCACAAGACGAUCCGACAUAACAGUAGCUACCAUAGUGCCUCUUUCCUUGAAAUAUUUGAGUAUAACUUCAUAUACUACAGCAUCAAACAUAAAAAGACAGUGUAAAACCAUUCAAGAGAAUGAAAGUAUUCAGAACCAACUAACAGAAAAUGAACAAUGGAUACCCUAUUAGCUCCUUGUCUAUAAAAAAUUUUGUUUAUACUAUCACAUAUAAUAAACCCAAUAAGAUACAACAUGAUAAAACCAAUGGAGACAGAAGAGCAACAGUUUGGUAGGGCUUCAAAACAAGAUGAUAUUAAAUCAGCACUAGCUAUUAUGAUGUCUUGUUUUUCUUCAAAAUAGCUAUUCAUUUCAUCACAGGCAAUAAUAUCAAGCAGCCCAGAAUAAAGCCAUUCCAAUUAAUGAGUGAAAGCUUAUAAGGGUUCAAGGCUACAUAAUGGGGAAUCAUGUACUUUUAUAAUCACAUACUUUUAUAUAUUUGAAUCCUUUCUUACAAUAGGGAAACUAUUCUGUAUUCACACAUGUGAGUUUUAUUUAUUAAACUUAUGAGUAUGGUCUCAAGCUGCGCCCAUUUAUUUAUAAAUAUCUCAAUGCGAUCCUUUUUUAUAGCUGAGUAGUACCCCAUUGUAUAAAAAUACCACAACUAUUUUAUUCAUUCCUCAGUUGAUGGACACUUGGGUUGUUUCCAAGAUCUGGUGAUUACAAAUUGUGCUGCUAUAAACAUAGGUGCACAUAUAUCACUGUGGUAUGAUGCUUUCAGUUCUUCUGGGAAUUAUGACUAGAAGUGGAAUAGCUUGGAACAAAUGGGACUUCCAAAACCAGCUUUUUGAGAAAUCUCCAGACUGACUUCCAUAGAGGUUGUACCAGUCUACACUCUCACCAACAGUGCAGGAGAGUUUCUUUUUCCUCAUAGCCUCUACAGCAUUUGUUGUUGGUAGUUUUCUUGAUCCUGGUCAUUCUUUUUGGAGUGAGAUGGAAUCUCACUGUGAUUUUAGUUUGCAUUUCUCUAAUGAGUAAUGAUGAUGAACGUUUUUUCAUGUAUUUAUUUGCCAUUUGUAUUUCUUCAUCUGAGAAUUGUGUAUUCAUCUCAGAUGCCCACUUUUGGAUUGGAUCCUUGAUUUUGGGGGUCUGAUUUUUUAAGAAUUCUUUAUAUGUUUUAGACAGAAGUCCUUAAUCUGAGGGACAGUUCACUAAGAUUGUUUCCCAGUUUGUAGGUUUUCUUUUCACUAUGCUAGAGAUUUCUUUUGAUGUGCAGAAACUUUUUAAUAAGAUAUGAUCCCAGAUAUUGAUUUUGGGAAGUAUUCCCUAUGCAGUUUGAGUCCUGUUCAUGUCUACCUACCCCUAUGUCUUCAAGGUUUUUACCCAAAUUGUCUUCCAAUAGAUUUAGUGUUUCUGUUUUAAUAUUCAGAUCUUUGAUCCAUGUAGAUUUUAAUUUAGUUCAUGGUGAUAGGCAUGGGUCUAGUCUUUUUGGCAUAUGGAGAUCCAGUUUUUCCAGCACCAUUUAUUAAAGAGACUGUCAUUCUUUCAUUGAACAUGUUUGGCCCCUUUAUCAAACAUAAGGUCGUUGAGUGUUUUUGUAAUUUUGGUUGUAUCUUCUAAUCUGUUCCAUUGAUUUUUGGCUCUGUUUUGAUUCCAGUACCAUGGUGAUUUUAUUAUAAUUGCUUUGUAGUAUAACUUCAAGUCAGGGAUUGUAAUGCCUCCUGCCUUGCCUUUGCUGUUUAGAAAAAUCUUUGCGAAUAAUUCCUAAAUAUUUCACUUGUUUGACUGCUGGUGUGAAGAGUGUGGCUUCUCUUAUUUAUGUCUCUGUGAUUUUGUUUUUAGUGUAUAGAAAUGCUAUUGAUUUUUGAGUAUUGAUUUUGUAUCCAUCUACAUUGCUGAAUUUAUUUAUUUUAUCUAGGAGUCUUUCAAUGUUUUGGGGGUCUCCUAUGUAGAAUAUCAUGUCAUCUGCAAAUAAUGAUAAUUUAACUUCUUCUUUUCUUGUCUUUACCCCUUUUAUUUCUCUCUCUUGUCUAAUUACUCUGGCUCUGUUUCCGGUACUAUAUUAAAUAGGAGUGGUGAUAAGGGACAUCCUUGUCUUGUGCCUGAUUUUAAGAUAAGGGCAUUCAGUUUUUGGCCAUUUAGUAUGAUACUGGCCAUUGGUUUGUCAUAGAAGGCCUUUAUCAUAUUGAGGUAAAGACCAUCUAUUACAAUUUUCUAUAAGGUUCUUAGCAUGAAUGAAUGUUGGACCUUAUCAAAGCUUUUUCUGCAUUUAUAGAAAUGAUCACGUAAUUCUUACUUUUGGCUUUAUUGAUAUGGUAGAUUACAUUUAUUGAUUUACGUAUGUUGAACCAUCCUUGCAUUCCUGGGAUGAAUCCCACUUGGUCAUGGUGUAUAAUCUUCUUGAUGAUUUGCUGCAUCCUAUUUGCCAAUAUUUUAUUGAGGAUUUUUGCAUCUGUGUUCAUUAGGGAGAUCGGUCUAUAGUUCUCUUUUUUAGUUGGGUCUUUCUCAGGUUUUGGUACUAGAGUAAUAUUUGCUUCCCAGAAUGACUUAGGAAGAAUUGUUUCCCUUUCAAUUUAAUUGAAGGAUUUGAGGAGUGUUUGCAUUAGGUCUUCUUCGUAUUUCUUGUACAAUUCCACAGUGAAUCCAUGUGUGUCUGGGCUCUAUCACAUUAUCAAUUUCAUUAAUAGAAAUUGGGCUAUUCAGCAGUUGUACAUCUUCUUGACCUAGCUUUGGUACAUCAUAUGUUUCUAGGAAUCUGUCAAUCUCUUCUUUAUUAUCAAACCUAUGAGAGUAGAAGUUUUUGAAAUAGGUGUUGAUGACCUUCUGUAUUUCUAGAGUCUGUAGUGAUUUCACCUUUUUCAUUCCUUAUUGCAUGAAUUUGAGCUUUUUCUUCCCUUUUUAAAAUAAGGUUGACUAGGGGUUUAUCAAUUUUAUUUAUUGUUUCAAAGAACCAACUCUUUGAUUCAUUGAUGCUUUGUAUUGUUUUCUUAGUCUCUAUUGCAUUAAUUUCUGUUCUGAUUUUUAUAAUUUCCUCUCUUCUUUUGGCUUUGGGCUUGAUUUGCUCUUCUUUUUCUAGAUAUUUGAGGUGUACCAUCAGGUUGUUUAUUUGUGUUCAUUCUGUUUUUCUGAUAUGGGAACUCAGUGCAAUAAACUUUCCUCUGAGGAUAGCUUUCAUUGCAUCCCACAGAUUCCGGUAAGUUGUAUUUGUAUUUUCAUUUGCUUGUAGAUAUUGUUUAAUUUCUUCUUUAAUUUCCCCUGUGACCCACUGGUUACUCAAGCGUGUGUUAUUCAGUUUCCAUGUGUUUGUGGGAUUUUUGCAGUAUCUUUUAUCAUUAAUUUCUAGUUUCAUGGUGCUAUGAUCCAUUAACACGCAUGGGAUAAUUUCAACUCUUUUGCAUUGAUUUAAUUGUGUUCUGUGGGCUAGUAUAUCCUCUAUUUUAGAGAAUGUCCCAUAUACUACUGAGAAGAAUGUGUAUUCUGAUGUUGUUGGAUGGACCACUUUGCAUAUGUCUAUCAAGUCCAUUUGUUCACAGGUGUGAUUCAGUUCUGUUAUUUUUUUGCUGAUUUUCUGUCUGGUUGAUCUGUCCCUUGAUGUCAGUGGUGUGUUAAAGUCUCCUGUUAUAAUUGUGUUAUUGCUAAUUUGGUUUUUCAUUUCUACUAAUACUUGCUUUAUAUAACUGAGUGCUCUGGAAUUUGGUGCAUAUAUAUUUAAGACUAUUAUCUCUUCCUCUUGAAGUUUUCCCCUAACCAGUAUGUAAUGACCUUGUUUAUCUCUUCUGAUCAUUCUUGGUUUGAAGUUCACAUUGUCUGCAAACAGAAUAGCUACUCUUGCUUUUUCAGGGGGGUUCCUGUUGCAUGAAGUAUUGUUUUCCAUCCUUUGACUUUCUGUGAGUAUCAUUUUGGGUUAGAUGAGUUUCUUGUAAACAGCAUAUGGUUGGAUGUUGUUUCUUGAUCCAUUCUGCCAGUCUAUUUCUUUUAAUUGGUGCACUGAGACCAUUUACAUUAAUGGUUAUAACUGUUAUAUGUUGGUUUAUUGUUGACAUGUUAUCUUUCUGCUGUUGAAUCUUUAUCUUUCCAUUCUGUUUAAUUGUCUGCUUUGCUUAGUGGUUUUUUCCUAAGUGUAUCUAAACUUUCAGUAUUCUUUGCAGGGUUGGCUUGGUGAUCAUGAAGUUCUUCAGCUGUACCUUGCCAUGGGAGUAUCUUAUUUCUCCAUUGAUUUUGAAGGACAGUUUUUCAGGGUAUAUCACUUUAGGUUGGAAAUCAUUUUCCUUUAGGAUCUGAAAUACUUCACUCCAUGCUCUUCUUGACUUUAUUGUUUGUGCUGGGAAGUCUUCUGUGAUUCUGAUAGGUUUUUUUUAAUAGGUGAUCUGUCUUUUCUCUCUGACCACUUUUAAUAUUCUUUUCUUAUGUUGGAUUUCUGGGAUGAUGAUUGUUAUAUGUCUGGGUAUAGUUUUAUUUUGGUUAUGGCUAUUUGGAGUUCUGUAUGCUUCACUGAUCCUGAUGUCAGUUUCCAUUCUCAUUUUUGGGAAAUUUUCAGCUAUUACUUCUCUAAAUAUCCUCUUGACAUCCUUUAUGUUGUCUCCUUCUUUUGCAUUUAUUCCUAUCAAUAUUAUGUUGUUUUUCUUUGCAUUAUCUUGCAGCUGUUGAAUUGUUAUUUCAUGAUUUCUUGUUAUUUUUAAGAAAUCUUUCCUUUCUUGUUCAGUAGCUGCAACCUUGUCUUUAAGGUCUGAAAUUCUAUCUUCACUUUCAUUGAGGUGCUUUUUAUAACUUUCAAUGGAAUUUUUGAUUCCUGUAUAUCUCUUUGUAUCUGCUUCAUGUAUUCUGUUUGUUUCUUAUACUGUUCAUCCAGGGAUUCUAUCUUUUUGUUUAUCUCCUCAAAUUUUUUAACUGUGUCUUCUUUAGAUAUGUUCAGCAUCUCUUUCACUUCUUUUAUCAUUUCUUCUUUUACCUGGGAGAUUAUUUCUAGUUUGAAUUCCUUUAAAUCUUCCACCAGUUUCUUCUUUAUUUCAGUUGCUAUUAUUUCAGGUAUUUCAGGUGUAUGGCAUAUGUUUUCUUCUAUGUACAUAGGUCCUAAGGUUUCUUGGGAUGGGCUGGAGGCUUGAGAUUGUGUUUUGGUCUUCAUUUUAUCAUUUUGAUAUAUUUCCAUGUUUCAAAUGUUAUUCCAAGGCUUCUCCUGGACCUGUUGGAAGUCCUCUUCUAUGCUCUCAGCUUUGGGACUCUGGCCGCCUAGUUCCCCAGAUUGGGAGAGGAUCACUGGGGGUGGAGCAGGCAGGACCAAGCCCUGCUGAACCAGUCCAGUGUGACAGGAAACCGCAAAGAUGGUGGGAGCAAUGAUCUUAACUCCCUCCCGGGCUCGGGAUGGUGUGGGGACACUCACCCCAGGCUACGUAGUCUCCAGAGUUGAGGGUCCAGGUAGGCGGCCCAAAUUCCCAGUGCUGGCCGAGCAUGGCAAGAAGCUGAAAAGUUCGUGAUUGCUGUUCUUAAUGCUUUCUCCAAGUUGUAUUUUAUUUUUUCUCCAAUCUAUAGCCCAUCACUGAAUCCUUGUGAUGACUUUGAGAGUCAGAACUGAUUUUCAUUUAUUUUUCCACAUUUUGUGUUAUGGAGGGUAAAACUAAACAUGAGAUUUUUCAACAGUAGAAAGUCUUUGAAAUCUCACAUUCAAGAGGUAGAAAAUCAAAUGAAAGCAACAUACCUCGCUGAAGAAUUCAUGUGUACACACAUUUUUACAUAUUAUUUUGGCACACUCAGAGACUGCUAUGGUUUACAGAAUUUCCCCCAGAAGCUUUGUGUUCAGAGGUGAGGGUUAGGGAAGGGGACUAUGGCUGACUUGCCAUCAGGAGGUGGGUUUGGAGGUGCUUUGCUGAGGCACAACCUGGAGGGUUUAUUUUGCUCCCUGGCUCUCCUUCUCUUUUGAUUUCUGGCUGCUGUGGAUGAGCAGCUGUUCUUUGUCCAGACUUUCCAACCUUGCCACUUCUGCCUUGGAGCCAGCCAUGAACUGAAAAUGUGUGACAAAUAAACCUCUUCUCCUUUUAGCUGUGGGUGCUGGGUAUUUUGUCCUAGUGAUGGGAAAGUAAUUGACACAAAGGCCCCUGGAGGUCUAACUCUGGACAUUUGUUGAAGAUUGCUUGAUAGAAACACCACUGAGAGGGAUUGAGUAAACAUUCCAUAUCCUGAGUAGGGAAAGCCAGAGCCUUACCUGGUCAGGUAACACAGUGUUUAGGUCUCUGCCCAGCAGAAGCAUUUUCAUAACAUUUUCAUAACAUGGUUCCCUGGAUUUGGCCGUUGAAGGUUCCCUGAAACUGUUAACUCAAGAUGAUACAGAAAGCUGAUUUCUGUAUCUUAUCUUAGAAUAGGUAUAGAAGCUUAUCUCUACCUUACCUCCUGCAUGUAACACCUUGGUAUGCUUCUUGCUUUGUCUGCUUUGAGGGUGGAGGCAUAAUGGGGCAGAGUACUCUGAGUAAAAGGUGCACAGUGGUGUGUCACAGAAAUGAGUCUUUUGGGCAUCACCAUGUUCACACAGUUCAGUAUUCAAAGUAUUCUUGCAAAGUCUGCAGCUAUAGAUGACAUUUCCCAGCCUUUACAAAGGAAGAGAAUUUAAUCGGCCAUCUGAGGCCUAAAGGGUGGCCCCUGCUGGGUACUUACAGACUGCUCAAGGCCUCCAUUUUACAUGGAAUAUGAGGCUGAAAGUAAAUAUAAUGUUCCACUUCCUAUUUUCUCUCAGAGCUGCCCAAUGCUGGUGGCAGAUUCAUACCUGGGUGUGAUUUGAUUAAUUGGAAAGAGAUGCUCUAAGGUUAUGUGAGAUAUCUACCACCAUAAAGCAAGUAUCUGUGAGGUUUCACAAUCAGUGUGUCCUGGGGGAUGACAUCUUCCCUUAACACACUUGACUUGGUAGUUUGCCAUUAUAGAGUUGAAGUUGAAGAUGUGUAGUCUACUUCUUGUUUAUUCAGGUAGAUACCCACUGCUACUCAAGCCAUACCAGGAUCUUUUGAUAGGAAUAACUCUGGUACUUCCUGUUGAGCGAGCAAUUCCGAUUCAUUUCCCAGCGUGGUGCAGGAGACACUUGCAUCUUCCCUGCCGUCUUUGCUGUUCACUGCAACCCUUUUCAGAACUAAUCAUUCGACUUUGCCUUAAUGAGAUUAAACCCAGCAGGGGCAGAUAUUCUUUUUUAAUUUUCAUUCCUGUUAUUUAAUUGGCAUUACACACACAUAAUGAGACCUGAAAAAAAGCACCCUGUAGCAAUCUGUUCAAUACACAUAACUCAGACAGAUGCAGCCAGAUGUAUCCAUGGUGACCUCCUUGGCUACACAUCCAUUAGAGAAGGUGGUCCGCAGAGUUUAACUCCUUGUGUGCCGCAUGUGUCUGAGGUGGACUUUCUCUCUGCCUUCUCUCCCUGGAAAGGGCAUUUUCCUGAGUUCUUGAGUUUCUUCCACUAGGAGUAGUCUUCUCAGCAUCUGAGGCACUGAUAGGAGCUUGGAGUUGAGUGGUGGAUGGUCCCUGGGAUUAGUGCUGGCCAACUUCCCUGUGCCCUCAGUGCCAUAGACAUGCUCUAUGUAGGCCCAAGGCCGCAUACUGGAAUAUCCUUAAGGAGAAAUAUUGAACCAUAGACAACACCAGUGGAAUGGACAACUAACAUGAUCAUUUUCCUCCUGCAUACUAGGUUUCUAUAUCAAAAUCAGCUUUCCUUUCCAAAAAAAGGAGAGUGUAGGUGUCACGAGGAGUAUUAGAAGGUCCUCUCUGAUGGUCCAUAGUAUUUUUUAACAUUUAAGUGCCUUUCCCUGGAUUUCUGUCUGGGUCUGCUUCUUGAUGCACAGUGGCUUUGUGAAGCACUGCUGCUUGGAAAAGACCACGAGGUUUCUUUCAGUGUGCUGGCAAGAACUUCCUCUCUUCCAAAACAGAUCAGGUGAGGGUUAUUUUAUACACCAGCUCUCACCAGGUGAUGAUUCUACUGUGUAUGUUGGAACUUCUCUUUAUGCAGCAUGUGGAAGAUGAAAGUUUCUGUGCCUGUAAUACACAGGACGUUAACAUGUUAUUGAAAGAACAGCAGGAACACUCAUCCUCUGGUACGCUGUGUCCUGUCUUGUGGCUUUUCUCCCCUCAGAGCUGUUUCUUUCUAAUGGCAUCACAGAUAAUGCAGAUUCCCAGUAUGCCCCCCAAAACUCGUUCCAGAUCUUCUGUGUUCUUAUUGCAUUUAUUUCCACUGCCACCACCAUGACCCAAGCAUCCACCUGUAAUUAAAUUCUAUUUAAUUCUUAUCACAGCCUGCAGGUUACUGGCACUGUCUUCCAUAAGACCAAUGUCUCUCAUUUGGACUACUAAAAUGAAGACCUCUUGACUGGCUUCCUUUCACUCUUUAGAAAAUUAAUUUUAUUGGUAUAUUUUAGUAUAAAUGAUGAGCAUAUUCAUCACAAGGAAUUUAUACCUACAUGUGAUAUAACUUGCUUCUUUUUUCCCUUUCCUCUCUCCUCCUUCAACCCCUCUACCCCUCAUUUCCAAAAGAGUUGUUUCUAUUUUUCUCUUCUCUUUUUAUCUUGUCCCUUCUUUCCUCUCCACAUCUUGUUUUCCUCCUCAUCUGAACAUUUGCUUCCCAUUUCCCAAUAUCUAUUAUACAUUUUGGUCUUUUUUUACACUUUUGGUUUCACACACUAGAGAAACAAAACCGUAUUUAAAUGACUGAUUUAUUUCACAUAAGGGUAUGGUCUCAAGGUGAAUUCAUUUAUCUAGAAAGGUCUCAAGUUUAAUUUUCUUUAUGGCUGAGUAGUACUCUGUUGCAUUAAAAAAUGAAUCCACCCCCCCCCCCCAAAAAAAACCCCACAACCUCUUCUUUAUCUAUUCAUUGGUUGUUGCGCAUUUGGGUUGUUUCCAAGAUUAGCUAUUACUAACUGUGCCACCAUAAACAUGAGUGUCCUGGUAUCACUGUGAUAUGAUGUGUUUAAUUCUUUUAGGAAGAUAUUAAGAAGAGGAAUAGCUGGGGCAAGUGGACUUCCAAUCUAAGUUUCCGAGGAAUCUCCAUACUGAUUUCUGCAGUGGCUGCACCAAUAGUGGAGCAGGGUUCCUUUUCCCCACAGCCCCACCAGCAUUUGUUACUGGUUGAUUUCUUGAUGAUAGCUAUUCUUUCUGGGGUGAGAUGAAAUAUCAGCCUUGUUUUACUUUGCAUCACUUUAAUGACCAAUGAUGUUGAAAAAUUUUUCAUGUGUUUAUUUGCCAUUCCUACUUUUCAUUUGAGAAAUGUCUUUUCAUCUCAGAUGCCCAUUAUUGGACUGAGUCUUUGAAUUUGGAAGAUCUGAAUUUUUCUAGUGCUUUAUAUAUUUUAGAAAUUAGUGCUUUGUCUGAGGAACAGCUGGCAAAUUUUUUCCCACACUGUGGGUUGUCUCUACACUCUGUUGGUGGUUUCUCUUGCUGUGCAAAGCUUAUGAGAUUCAAGUUGUUGAUUCUUUGUGAUAGUUCCUGUGUAAUUAGAGUUUUUUUCAUAAAGUCUUUGCUGAUACCUAUAUAUUCAGGAAUUUUACCUGUUCUAUAUUUCAUUAGAUUUAGUAUUUCUGUUUUAAAAUUUAGAUCUGUGAUCCAUUUCAAUUUUAGCUUAGUGCAUGGUGAUGGGCAUAGGUCUAGUUUUAACCUUUGACAUGUGAAAGCCAGUUUUUCCAGCAUCAGGUAUUAAAAAGGCUAUCAGGCUUCCAGUGAACAUCUUGGCUGCUUUGUCAAAGAUAAGGUGGCUGAGUGUUUGGAAUUACAUCUGCAUCUUCUAAUCUGUUCCACUGAUCAUCAGGUCUGUUUUUUUCUUUUUUCUUUUCCUCUUCUUCUUCUUCUUCUUCUUCUUCUUCUUCUUCUUCUUCUUCUGCUUCUGCUUCUGCUUCUGCUUCUGCUUCUGCUUCUGCUUCUGCUUCUGCUUCUUCUGCUUCUUCUGCUUCUUCUUCUUCUUCUAGUACUAUGAAGUUUUUAUCACAGUAGCUCUAUAGUAUAACUUGAAAUAUGGGGUUGUGAUGCCCCCUCACUGGCCUUUGUUGCCUAGAAUUGCUUUAACUAUUCUAGGUCCCUUCUGGUUUCAAAUGAUUUUUGAGAUUAUUUUAUCUAAUUCAGUGAGAUAUGCUAUAGGUAUUUUGAUUGAGAUUGCAUUAAAUCUGUGUAAUAAUUUUGGAAGUAUGGCCAUUUUUACUGUGUUGGUUCUUCCUACCCAAGAACAAGGGAUAUCUUUCCAUUUUUCUGGUAUCCAUUUUGAUCUUUUUCAGAGUACUGCAUUUUUCAAUGUAAAGCUCUUCUACUUCCUUAGUUAAUUGAUUCCUAUAUGUUUUAUUUUUUGGAUGUUAUUGUGAAAGGUGUUAUUUCUCUAAUUUCUCUCAGUAGUUUGUUGUUUGUGCACAGGAAUGUUGUCGAUUUGUGAGUGUGGAAUUUGUAUCCAGUUAUGCUACUGAAUUUGGUUAUUAAAUCUCACUGUCUUGUGAUGGACUUUUUGGAGUCUUUUAUGUAGAGUAUCAUGUCAUUUGCAAAUAAUGAUUAUUUUUUUCCUUUUUUCUCCUUUCUUCCUUUUAUUUCUCUCUCACGUUUAAUUAAUCUGGAUAACGUUUUCAGAACCAUAUUGAACAGAAGUGGUGAUAGUGGACCUCCUUGUCUUGUUCCUGAUUUUAGAGUGAAAGCUUUGAGUUUUUCUCCAUUUAGCACUAUGCUGGCUGUGGUUUGUAGGAGAGGGCUUUCAUCAGAUUGAGGUACAGACCCUCUAUUCUGAUUUUCUGUAUGGUCUUUAUCAUGGAUGGGUGGUGGACUUUGUCCAUGCUUUUUCUGCAUCUGUGGAGGUGAUGUCUUCCACUGAAGACAAAAUGAUGAGGCCCCUCCAGGGUUCAGUAGUACCCUCUGCCUCGGCUUGUGCUAUCCUUUCCUCAUUUCCCUCUGCUCCAGCCUUAACUUGCUCCCCACCCCACCCCCCGCACCAGCCCUAUGCCUCUUUCUGUCCCAGAGCUCUGCAUUUGCACUUUACUUUAUCUGUGGACCCCUUCUCUCUCCCCUGCAUCGCCCGUUCUCUAGACAGAAGGCUGAGCAGCCUCCCUGGCUCGCACGUUCUGUGCGUUCUGUGACUUGGGUUUGAGCCAUCGUGCUUUUUCCCUGCUGACUGCUUGCUUGAAGCACCCAUCUGCAAAUUGACCUCCAUUUUCUACUUUGGAAAAGUUGUUUUCAAGCUGGAAUAAACAAAUAUAGGAGACAUAGAUGAAACAAUCCAGGGUCUGGUUGUUAGUUUAGGUGGGUUAUAUGUUUAAUAGUGUAUUAGAUAAACUCAAAGUGAAUGUGCAUUUUUUAUUAAAUUUUUUUUAUUUAAAGAGAAAACAAAACAAAACAGUAAAAGGAUACAAGUAAUACAGAAUUUCAAAAAAAAUAAACAGUAAGAAAUUACUAGUUAAUAGAUUACAUAUUGUCAUCUUAGAAAUAGUUGUUCAAAUUACAAAAUUAAAGCAUACAAAGUGGACAUUCACACAGUGAGAUUUCAAACAGUUCUGUUCAAUGAUCCAACAAAAACUUAGUAAUAUGGUUUUCUGUCUUAAACACUUAAAUAUACAUGUAGUUAUAUCCUUUAGAGCACUUUCUUUUCCUCUCUUUUUUACAAUAACAAUUACACAUUUUGGGUUUUAUUACUCCCACAGUUCUUAUUUCUUUUUUUGAAGAGAAUAAAACCAAAUGUGACAAAACAACACAGAGCCAGUUAGAACAGAAGGAUGGACAUAGUACAUGAUGUAAAAACAGAAUACCAGGUGAUCAACAAUGGUUACCAUAAUGCCUCUUGCUAUCUUAAAAAGAGUUGCCCUGGGUCUGGGGAUUUAGCUCAGUGGCAUAAGCGCCUGCCUUGCAAGUAGGCGGUCGUGAGUUCAAUCCUCAGUACUGAGAAAAAAAAAAAAAAAAAAAAAGAGUUGCCCAUAUCAUCAGGUAUAAUAGAAUUGAACAAAACAAAGCCAAUAAAACUUAAACAUUGGAGACCUUAUAGGACUUCAAAAGAAGGUAAUAGUCAAACCAUAAUGGGCAUCAUAGUAAAUCUUAUUGCCUUCAAAGUAGUUGCCUAUACCCUCAAACUUGAUACUAUCAAACAGAAUAGAGUAAAAUCAGUCAAAACAAGAUGGUGAGAGCAAUACAGGGGUUCAAAUCAGGUUAAUAGGAAAACAAAAAAGUUACUAUAAUAUAUCCCACUAUUUUUUAUUUUUUCCCUUAAUUAAAAAAAUAAAAAAAUAAUUUUUUAAAAAAAGGAAAAAAAAGGGGAGAUUGAGAUAAAAGAGGACUUAACAAAACAACACAGGUCAUAACAGAACAAUUUAAGCAACAUAGUGUUUCAUCACCAGAUAACCUGACAUGAUAGUAGUUACCAUAGUGUCUCUUUCCUUGAAAUAUUUGAGUAUAACUUCGUAUACUAUAGCAUCAAACGUAUCAAGAGAAUGUGCAUUUUUAACUUUCAUUUUUGCCCUGGUCUUCAAGUUCAUCAUUGACAUCCAUGACUAAAGCCACUUCUGAAUCCUUUUAAUGCAGCUUUGUCACCUUUGCUUCUACCUCUGUUGUUCGAGAUACAGCAUUUUUUGAAUCAUGUGUGAUGCCGUCCCUGAAUUUACCCCAUGCUGGUAAAGCCCGCUUGUGUAGCGCUAAGACAGCCUUGUUUUUCUCCUCCCAUUUGCCCUGCAGGUAUGUAUUUAUGAUCUUCACAUUCCAGCCACUCACAGUAUUGGCUUAGAAGUCAUCUCUAAAAUUUAAAGAGCUUGUUUACAAUGACAUCCAACAUUUGCAAUUGUUAGGUCAUCUCCUAGGGACAAUUACUAAAUCUUUGUUAAAUUCUGUUCUUUUAUUACCAAUUAUGUGUGUUCUAUGUUAAUUUUCUGAAAGACAGUGUGCUGAAUGGCCAACAUAUUUAAUUUACUUGUUUAUUUUCAUUAAUUUUAGUUGAGAGUUUUUUUUGUUGUGUCUUCCUAACAGUAUUUUAGGGAGUAUUAAAUUGACUUCUGCCCCAGUUCCCUGCUACUUGACCUGGACACUGCUUUUAAACUCGAAUCCAUACUUCAACCCCCACCCCUCUGAUUUCCUAGCUGAAUCUCAGUUUGUCCAGGUACCCACGCCUGCCACACAACCAUGGAACCCAGGAAAACAGCACAUGUCCUUAUUUCCAUCCUGUUACCUUGGUUGAGGCAUGAAGAGCUUAGUUGCAGAUUGGCAGAGGAAAACGAAGGCAUUGUCUGGUUUUGUUCAUUCAUAAAUGCCCGGGUAGAACAGGUGAUACCAUGCAGGGUAGCUAAGGGGAGGCAUGGGGUCUUCACGCAGCAGAGAGGGGGGCAGAACUGGACGAAGGAGUGAGAGGAGAGUGGAUAAGGACUCUCUCUCUCUCUCUCUCUCUCUCUCUCUCUCUCUCUGAAAGAAAAAUAAACUUCUGGAAACUACCCAGUUUAACUGAAUUAAUUUUAAUUUCCACAAGGAGGACUAAACUGAAUUUUUUAUAACAAAUAAGGGAAAUGGGACUGUCAGGGUUAAUCCUACAUUGUACCAAAAUGCCAUAUUUUGACAUCCUUAAAUAUCCUUUUAUGUGGGAUGUGCAUGGUCACAUUUCUCCUUGUGAGUCUGCUGUCUCAGUUUGCUGUACAUUGGUCUACUCAUGGCUCUUUUAAUACUGUACUUCUCAAGGGCAUGGCCAAACUAUAGUGGUUUAAGUCAACAGUGAAUUGGACUAUUUAGAAUCUACUGAUGUAGAUAGAUAAAUGGAAAUUGACUAAAAGAUGGUCUUUUAAAAUUGUUAUCCUGACAUGAAAAUAUCCAAUGUAAAAUUAUUUAAUGUUUUUAGACUAAGAUGCUGUAGUAGUUUAUUUUCUAGAAUACACGGAAGCUUGCAGUCUUGCUCCCUUCUUUUUUUUUUUUCUGUCUUCAACAGAUACCUAGGUGAUAAGAGUUUUCAGAUUAAGUAGUCUUCCACAUUUUAAGUUGUCAUUUAACAUUUUUGUUAUAGUUUUAAAUAACCCAAAAAUAAUUUUCAAUAUUUCAAUAUUAUAGUAUCGAUAUUUAAAAUUUUUUAAUCAUUCUUUACAUUUAUCCAACAUAUAUGAAUUCCAUAGUAUCUGAGUCCAAUUAACAUAUGCUCAAAAAUGCAAGAAGAAUCUCUCUAAUUUAACAUUAGAAAAUCUUGUAAAAUUUCAAUUUAUCUUAGCAUUUAUAUGUUUGUACUUUGGUUCAUGAGCACUUCUGUUGGCAAACAAUUUGGUUUGGAAACAGAGACCUUUGGUAAAAUUUUGUUUUUGUUUGUAAGCUCUGCAUCCGGUGAUAGACUCAACCAUAGCCAUCGUUUCCAAAGUCAGAGAGCAAAUAAAAUUCAUGAACUGAAGUGCCACCGUAUUUCUAGUUCCCUUUUAUGAAGAGAUGCAUUCUCACAGACUAUAUUGUUAUGACUGAAAGUCUUUUAAUUCCUCACACUUUUCAGGAGUAAAAAUAAGUGUUAUAUACAUUUAAGAUUUUUUCAUGUUUCUUAUUAUCUUAAGGCUCUAAAGAGUGAAUAUUUUUUCAUCUAAGUUGAAUUAUUAGUAUGAUCAUAUUUCGUGUAUGCUGACUCAAAUGAUAUACAUUUAUUAUAUAUUAUGAUUGAUUACAUAAAAGUAAGGUUUGGUUGGCGGGUGGCAUAACCCAUAGUGAAUUUGAUUAGAAGAGGGUGUUAAAAUGCCUUGUUUACAAGACCAUAUAUCAUGUCCUGUUGCUCAGCCUCUAGUUUGGCCACUUGGGAAAAUGCACCACAGUAGUAGCUCCAUAUAUAAAUCCAGUCCUUUGUUAGGAAAAGGUACAUUGUGAAAGUGGUGAGUCCCCAUGGGACCUUAGGGAGCUGGCUCAGUAAACCCAUUUAGGGAGUCACACGGGACUGAACAUCUAGAUAUCGCCUCACGUUCCUAGGAUAUUCAGGCUAUUUUCAGGACUUACCAUAGCCUACUUUGGAGAUAAAUCAUUUAGUUGAGGGAAAUUCACAAGAGUGUAUUUCAGGCACUGCCUGGGAGCCAGAGCGGGACACAGUUGUGGGUGACUCUACGGCCCGGGGUGCUCAGUGCGGAUGUCAGAUACCUGAAGGUAAAAAUGGUCAGCAGUGGAUGAGAAAGUAAACUCAUGUGUGCCUUUCAGCAUGGGAUAAUAAAUCAUAUUAUCCCAUAAGUAAUAUAAAUAAUAAAUAAACGGAAAGUGAGUGAAGCAUCACAGAUGACCGUGUCUCUGAGAACAAUGAAAUUCUCCGGUGCUGAGGAGUUAGCACACCUCAGUGAGUGCUGAAACAAAGCUUACUUUUAGAAACCCAUAGAGAUCAGUUCUGACACAAGUUAUAGUAUCAGGAAGGGUGAUUUAACCUCUAAGGCACAAGAUUUCUGGAGAUACAGAUAAACAAAAUAUCAGAGUUGAUAGCAAAGAGAGAACUGAAAGGAUUUAUCACAGAAGGCAGAAAUACCUUCAGAGAAAGCUUUGCCCCCAGGUUAGGUAACCUGCAAGCCAAGCACGAGGCCAAGCUGCUGCAUCUGGACUCACUGUGAUUUGGUGCAGGCUAGACUUUACCAUUUUCUUCUCCCUUCCUGGAUAGACCAGUGUCUCGGCCUGCCAUGGUGACAAGCACACAUGCUGAAUGACUUUACCACACCUUUCUUUCAGUCUCAAUUGCAGGACCCACUUUCUGAUAACUUUGCUACUGAGUAAACCAUUACAUAACGGCAAAGAUCGCCAGUGACCUUAUGCUUUCACCUUGGUAUCUUGGCAGGUGUGAUAUACUAUUUUAGUAUAGUAGGUAUUACAGAGUGUGAGCUGCUGGACACUUCAGCAAAUUCUUUUGAGGGCAAGUUGAAGGGUGUCCCUGUUUUUAUUUAUGCUCUGACUUCUCGAUGAUGCACCUUUAUUGAAAAGAUGUAAAUAUCUCUGUUACUGUUCAUUUAUUUUGUGAUAUAUCCGGUGGGGUUGAAUUUUUUCCUUAUUGUUCUCCCUCUAAGGACUGCCAUUGUAAUUUAAGACUUUGUUAUUUUCUGUAAUUGGAGUUCUCUGGUAAUUGCAAAUUAUAUUGGUAAGUACUUGAAAGGAAAAUAGGUCAUCUAAAUAUAAGCAGUUUUUAAACUUUAAACCAAUACUAAGUAGAAAUAAAUAAAGUGCAAAAAUUAAUAAAUGAAAGGGUUAGGUGGCAUUUCCCUAACACUGUUGUAUUUUGCAGAACCCAACCUUUUUUAAACCAAUAUAAUAAAUAUUGCAUGAAUAUAUCACUGAUGCAAAUAGUAUUUACUAAUUAAUUCAUGAUUAUUCUAGGUGCAUUCCUGACAAAUUUAUAGUGUUAUAUUUACAUUCAAACUAUGGAAUAAAAGAUUAUACACUAUAUAAAUUUUCCACUCAUCAUUUUGCAUAUUCAUACCUAAAAAGUCAAUGUGUAAUAGUUAUUAGAAGAGUUUAGCUGUUUUUGCUACUGGUCCAGAUCAUAAUCUCAAGUAAUUCUAGGAGAAUAUAAAGGGACUAAGAAAGGGAGAAUUGGAGAGUUUAAUAUUUAGCAAAUUGCUUCCUUGGGAUUAAAUGACCUUUCCUAUAAAUCAGAAGAAAAGGUGUUGGAUGGAUGCUUCCUCUUGAAGUGUACACAAGCCACAGGCAAAUGAGCAGAAGCACUUUCUGAAGCAAAAUGUUACAUACAAUGUGAUUGUUUUGCAUUGCUGUCUAUUCUUCUAGAAGCUAUUACUGAACAUAAAUCAGGUAAAACCUCAUAUAUCACACUUAUUCGUGGGCAUUUCUUAUUAAAAGCAACUUUAUUUUCUCACCUGAAGCAUCCUUGCCUUUCCAAACAACUGAAAUCUCCUAAGGUGAGUGUGUGUAUGCUGAGCCAGCUUCUUGUGAUAAGAAAAUGAAUAUUUUGCAAUGUAAGAACAAGAUGGUACUAUUCAAAAGGACAGUUUCAAGAUACAUUAAAAUUUCUCUGAAAUAAUUGCAAAGCGAUAGUUCUCUGGUCUUCCUGGAAAUUCUGUCAGUUGAUUUGAGACAUGGGAACUUUCUUAGUACACUGAGGAAAUCACAGUUGUGAACAUCUCUUUUUUUAGAUUAGAGAAAAAUGUCACCAAUCACAGUGGUCAUCUGAGAAAAGGUCAGAUUGUCUUCUUCCUUCUUUGAAAAAGAUCUAUUAUAAUUCACUAAUCAUUUUUAUCUGAUUUUCCCUAUCUGUUCAACCUUACUUUUGAUUACACCAAAUGAAUUCUUUGCCAGACUCUUUUCUGGCACAUUUACUAUCCUUCUCUUCCCAGUAAAGACUUAGGUUAUAUUUCCUUUCCUUCCGACACCUCUGAUCCCCUCAGCUACCCAAAUUUAAAGCCUCUCUGCUCACUGCAAAGAGAGUGCUCAGGUUGGUAUUUUCUCUCCAACCUGAUAAGUUUCUAAAUACUCACUGUCCUUUUCAGUGUGAUUGAAUUCAGGAUGUCAGUGGAGAAAACAUUUGUAGAGUUUCGGGUGAAUCUUAUCAACAAAGGAUAGCAAGAAGAUGUCAAGGUAACAAUCAAAGUUAGAUUUUUACCUGUCCUUCAUGGGUGCCCAUUUCUUCUUCUUUGAAAUCCUGUCCUUGAGUUCUCAUAGUCCUGGUUCAGUAAUCCGUAAGUAGAAACAGAGUCUGAAUGACACAUUCCUUCUAAUGAUCGUUGGUACCCAGGGGCAUCAUUUCAUCUGUGCUUUUACGGUGCUAGUUUUUGAAUAGUAUUUAAGUUUCUACAUCAGUUUUUUUUUGCCAGAAGAUUGUAGUAAUUAUGAUGUCCCUUCUCAAUAUGAAAAUGGACAUAAAGUAAGUUGGAGUUAAAUGAAAACCGUAGUUAGCAUUUACUGAGUGCGCAUGAGAGGGUCAGUAUUGCCCACAUCCAGCAAGCUUUCGCUGGAGGUAAGUAAAAGAAGGCCCCCAAAUCACCCUCUAAAGGUUCAUGAAACAAAGAGCUACAUUAACAUUUUCCAAAUGUCCAAUCACAAAAGAACAAGCUGUCCUAAGACUCCUUUCCCCUAACACUUUCCUCUUUUGGUGUCUGUUGUAGAGGAGCCUGACUAGGCUUGGGGACUGAAACAAAAGAAUGGAAGGAUAAAAGCCAGAAAGGCAAUCAGCUGGGCCUCCUCCUUCAUUGCUUUACUAGUUGUAAAACUGUAAUAUUCUGGUGGAACAAAAGAUUCCAAAUAAGGACAGUCAGAAGCAAUGAGAAACAAAGUUACCGUGACUCCCGUGGCCCCAGCCUGGUGAUGGGAGCCCUUCCUCGACGACUUCUCUGUGACACUGCGUCUGGCUUCCUUGGAGAUUCAGGUCGCCCACUGGGCCUGACCUUAGCUGUUAAAAGUGAAAAUUACCUCCAACUAUAAGAAUGGACUCUGAGUGGCUCCUCACUAAUGGGUCACUACUCAGUUGUUUGUCUUUAUGAGAGAAUGAACAAGAAAAAUAGCAAAGUGUGCUCCAGCUGUGAUGGAGGGCUGCCCCUCGGCCAUGGCACCCUGCCUUGGAGCCAGCGGAAUAUGGACUGAAACUUCCAAAAAUUUUUGGAUCUUGGCCUGUCUGGUGCCCCUCUCACAAGGCAUGUGCCAUUUUGAUUUUAAAAUAAUGGGAAGAGUGUUCCCACACUGCUGCUUGGAGAUACGACUCCUAAACUGUCUACAGAUUGCCAAUUUCCUUUCAUGGAUGCACUGUGCAAGAUGGAAAGAGGAUAUGACAUUGGGGAAUAGCCUGGACUUUCAAUGCAGACUUAAAACUCGUGUCUUCUUGGGCAUCUACUCAGUGCAGGAGUAUUUGGGAGUCACAGAUGCUUCGUCCAAGAUAAAUAAAGCUAAGUUCCUGUCCUUACCUAGCUUCACAUAUUCUCACUUAAAAAAUUAAUUUUUACUUGGAUGGACUAUAAGAAGGGUGUAGGUGGAGUGAUGAGGUGAUUUAUAUGGGCUGAAUUUCCUUAUAUGGCUGAUCCUUUGGGUUUGAAAGUAGGUAGCUCUUAGGUUGAUUCCAGCAUGACACUGGUCAGUACAAUGUGUUUCAAGCUGCCUAAGUCUUUGUUUCUCUUACUUUUGUUUGUUUCUUUCUCAUUUUUAAAUGAAGAUAGCAAUGCCUCCCUUGUGUGGCUACUAAGAGUGACGUACCAUGUAUAUAGAGUGUGCCACACAGUACUUGAGGCAUGCGUGUCUGUCCGCAGUGUCUGCUUCUUCUCCACUGAUUUCAGGCUGCCCUGUGUCUCCUGCCAGCCUUACAGAUGCCUCUCUUAAGCCUGCAAACAUCUCACAGGUAACUGCCAGCACAACAAUGUCUUCCUGGGCUGUGCUGUGGCCAGCUUGUGGACAUGGCCAUGGAAAUGAAGAUGGGUUACUAAGGACCAAAUUUCCAAGAUUCAAAGGGGUAGUGAUCCUCAUGCCCUUUAAAGAAUGAUCAUACUGAAAAGGUCUUGCCCUGGUAUAAAUUACUGUACAAUUAUGGUGGUGGUCUAACUUGGUGGAAGGCCAAAGUGGGAACACUUACCACUUCCUGCUUCUUCUUCAGCCCUAAUUGCAACUCCCUUUCUUUGUUUGCAGGGGAAGAAAAUUCCAAUCAGUUCCUCACACGUCAUCAAUGCCCACCCCAAGCACCACCUCUGAUCAGAGGUCAUGAAACCUCCCGCCAUGUUUGUCCCUGGCAAAGGAGGUAGCCCACCCGCCACAGUCAUGUGCUCCUUUCCCUCUCUUUUCUUUUUUUACUUUUUGCUUCUCUACUGUGCCAGAAAACCCUAACACACAUGUCAUUUUGGAAGCAAUAGGUGUCUCAUGAAUAUUCUAGCCUUCCUGUUCCCCCUUUCUAUCCCCAGGAAGUUGGAUGUGCUCCGGGACUUACUUUGUCUAAUGAAAUGUGGGUAGAAGUGAAGUGUGUCACUUCCAAGAGGAACCUUCAAAAGGCUUCACUUUCACUGCCCCUGCUGCCAAGGAAGCACAUGUUAGAGGGGGGCUCGUAUCAGCCCAGAUCUAGGAAAUACUGCAAGAAGUAAGAUCCCUCUGUGCAUCGGGUUAAAAAUACACGUGUGUUGUAUUAUACCACUGAGAUGUUACAGUUGUUUGUGGUCUGCCUAGAUAAAAGUAGAAAAUUGCACACAUAUUCUGACAAUUUCCCUUUACCGAAAGAUCUUAGGGAUUAUUCUGCUGAAAUUGCUUUCAGGAUAGCAUAUAACAAUCACAAUCGUAUGGAAGAGCCAUGCUUUUCUCUGUCUUACAGCAGUGUUACUUGGCUGGAUCACCCACCAUAUUCAUCAGAAUCAGCUCUGAAGCAUCUGCUGCAAGCAAGUGGCUGGGCCCCAGGGGGCCUACUGGGAGAAUGUGUCCCUCAAAACCACGUUGUGGGAAGGCUGGCCUGAGUUAGAGUUAGGGGCUUUUCUAAGAUGCAGGAAAUAUGAGAUACAUUCUCCACGCAAAUUGAAAGUGACAGACUCAACUUACAUAUGGUCUCUUUCAUUAUCCCAAGUCCACAAUUCUAAACAAUCUGAGGGACAAAAAGUGCCUCCCUUCCUACUCCCACUUUCCUGCUCGUUAGGCAGCCGCUUGAGGCACAGUCACAAAGAGAAGCUUCAGAACUUCCGAGUAACAGAAAUGUGAGUUGGAAUGUUUGCCCCAUUAUAAAAAAUAGUAACAUGAAUCUAAAAAUUUUGUAAAAGAAAAGUAAUUCCAUUUUGUU